GAGUGAGAUCCAGUCUCUUGUCAAGCUCAACUUAAAGCUUCUAAACAGAGAUAAACAAUUAGAAAUUAAUGCAUUCAAGGAAGUUGCAAGGCUUGCCACGCAUACCAUUUUGGCUGCUUGUGGUUUUGGGCACUCAAGGCAUGCUGUCCACUCUGUCCCAAGUUGUGCGUGCGGACAUUCUGAACGCACUCAGCAACUCCGUAAGUCCACUCUAAUGCCAAAUUCAUGCCGAGAAUGCUUUUAUGUCUUUGUAAAGGAUGUUGUUAGCUCAAUUCUGUCCGAGAAAGUAUCCCAUGCUAAGUCAUGAGAAAUUCUCUCAUAAAAUAUUGGAACUGCCAAUCUACAGAGUGCUUUUCCUUUCCUAUACUUCUCAUUUCACUGAAGACACCUGAAUCUUCUUUUUGCCUUCUCUCUAUACCACGCUAGAGACAUUAGCACAAGUCAUCUUGGCAGCACAUAUGAGCAAGAUGCCUUCUCCACCUUUCUUUCUGUGUAGCCAACUAGUUUGGGAUUUAGACUUAGUUGUUGUUGUU
rnacentral:misc_RNA from 1 species